rnacentral:rRNA from 1 species
GGGGAAUUUUCCGCAAUGGGCGAAAGCCUGACGGAGCAAUACCGCGUGAGGGAUGACGGCCUAUGGGUUGUAAACCUCUUUUUUCAGGGAGGAAAAAAAUGACGUUACCUGAANAAUAANCAUCGGCUAANUCCGUGCCAGCANCCGCGGUAAGACGGAGGAUGCAAGUGUUAUCCGGAAUCACUGGGCGUAAAGCGUCUGUAGGUGGUUGACUAANUCAACUGUUAAAUCUUGAGGCUCAACCUCANAACCGCAUUCNAAACUAUUCAACUAGAGUCUAGUAGGGGUAAAGGGAAUUUCCAGUGGAGCGGUGAAGUGCGUANAGAUUGGAAAGAACACCGAUGGCGAAGGCACUUUACUGGGCUAUGACUAACACUGAGAGACGAAAGCUAGGGUAGCAAAUGGGAUUAGAUACCCCAGUAGUC